rnacentral:tRNA from 1 species
AUCAGAAUAGCUUAAUUAAAGCUUUGAUUUUGUAAUUCAAAGAUAGGUGUCCCCUUUCUGGUA